GCGGCCGCCGCCGUCCCGGGGCGGACGGGCGCGGGCGGGAGGAUGGAGCUGAACUCCCUGCUGAUCCUGCUGGAGGCGGCCGAGUACCUAGAGCGCAGGGAUCGAGAGGCCGAGCACGGCUACGCCUCGGUGCUGCCCUUCGACGGCGACUUCGCCAGGGAGAAAACAAAGGCGGUCGGCCUGGUGCGCAAGGCCCCGAACAACAGGUCUUCGCACAACGAGCUAGAAAAGCACAGAGACCGCAUCCCAGGCACUCGGAGGCUGAGCCACAUCCUCCACUGCUCCCCACGGGCACUAACAUUGCCGAUGAGACUUGGAUAAGGAGGGGACCUUGUUCUCCAUGUCCUCACUUGAUCUUUCACCCGACACCACGUACGUAAGUCCUGUCCGCCUGCGUCAGGGCGCACUCCUCCACCUCCUCAUCCCUGAUGACUGCACAGGACACUUGGCUGUGCCACCAGCGUUCUUAGUGAUGACCCUCUGGUUUACACAGGGACUUCCGGACGGUCCUGCGAUGUGCCU
rnacentral:sRNA from 1 species